rnacentral:rRNA from 1 species
GAUGAACGCUGGCGGCGUGCCUAAUACAUGCAAGUCGAGCGAACAGAUGAGGAGCUUGCUCCUCUGACGUUAGCGGCGGACGGGUGAGUAACACGUGGAUAACCUACCUAUAAGACUGGGAUAACUUCGGGAAACCGGAGCUAAUACCGGAUAAUAUAUUGAACCGCAUGGUUCAAUAGUGAAAGACGGUUUUGCUGUCACUUAUAGAUGGAUCCGCGCCGCAUUAGCUAGUUGGUAAGGUAACGGCUUACCAAGGCAACGAUGCGUAGCCGACCUGAGAGGGUGAUAGGCCACACUGGAACUGAGACACGGUCCAGACUCCUACGGGAGGCAGCAGUAGGGAAUCUUACGCAAUGGGCGAAAGCCUGACGGAGCAACGCCGCGUGAGUGAUGAAGGUCUUCGGAUCGUAAAACUCUGUUAUUAGGGAAGAACAAAUGUGUAAGUAACUAUGCACGUCUUGACGGUACCUAAUCAGAAAGCCACGGCUAACUACGUG